rnacentral:other from 1 species
AACUGUCUGCGGUGUUCGUGGUAUGGGAAAUUCGUAAUCCACAAUAUUUUUACGGGAGCGGUCCGUUCGCGGAAAUAGAUAAGGUCUGAAUUUUUCGGAAAGGUCGAUUUUUCCGCUUCGCCGCACCCACCUGCGAGAUGCGGGUUAAUACUUUUUCAUAUCACGGCACAGGCGGAUAUUUU